UACAGGAGGGGCAAGCGUUAUUCGGAAUUAUUGGGCGUAAAGGGCGCGUAGGCGGCCUGGCAAGUGGAAGGUGAAAUCCCUCGGCUUAACCGAGGAACUGCCCUCCAAAACUGCUUGGCUUGAGUCCGGGAGAGGUGAGUGGAAUUCCCAGUGUAGCGGUGAAAUGCGUAGAUAUUGGGAGGAACACCAGUGGCGAAGGCGGCUCACUGGACCGGAACUGGACGCUGAGGCGCGAAAGCGUGGGAGCAAACGGGG
rnacentral:rRNA from 1 species